rnacentral:rRNA from 1 species
GGAGGGUGCAAGCGUUGUUCGGAAUCACUGGGCGUAAAGGGCGUGUAGGCGGCCGGCUAAGUCUGAUGUGAAAGCCCGGGGCUCACCCCCGGAAGGGCAUUGGAUACUGGCAGGCUCGAGUCCCGGAGAGGAGGGUGGAAUUCCUGGUGUAGCGGUGAAAUGCGUAGAUAUCAGGAGGAACACCGGUGGCGAAGGCGUCCCUCUGGACGGUGACUGACGCUGAGACGCGAAAGCGUGGGGAGCAAACAGGAUUAGAUACCCUGGUAGUCCACGCUGUAAACGAUGAGCACUAGGUGUCGUGGGUAUUGACCCCCGCGGUGCCGUAGCUAACGCAUUAAGUGCUCCGCCUGGGGACUACGGCCGCAAGGUUAAA